rnacentral:rRNA from 1 species
AACGCGAAGAACCUUACCAGCCCUUGACAUCCCGGUCGCGGACUCCAGAGACGGAGUUACUUCAGUUCGGCUGGACCGGAGACAGGUGCUGCAUGGCUGUCGUCAGCUCGUGUCGUGAGAUGUUGGGUUAAGUCCCGCAACGAGCGCAACCCCCGUCCUUAGUUGCUACCAUUUAGUUGAGCACUCUAAGGAGACUGCCGGUGAUAAGCCGCGAGGAAGGUGGGGAUGACGUCAAGUCCUCAUGGCCCUUACGGGCUGGGCUACACACGUGCUACAAUGGCGGUGACAAUGGGAAGCGAAGGGGCAACCCCUAGCAAAUCUCAAAAAGCCGUCUCAGUUCGGAUUGGGCUCUGCAACUCGAGCCCAUGAAGUUGGAAUCGCUAGUAAUCGUGGAUCAGCACGCCACGGUGAAUACGUUCCCGGGCCUUGUACACACCG